CCGGCGACCGGCGCACGGGUGAGUAACACGUAUGGAACCUGCCCGCAGCAGGGGGAUAAGCGGAAGAAAUUCCGUCUAAUACCGCGUAACACCGCGGAGGGGCAUCCCUCGGCGGUUAAAGAUUCAUCGGCUGCGGAUGGCCAUGCGGCGCAUUAGCCAGUCGGCGGGGUAACGGCCCACCGAGGCGACGAUGCGUAGGGGUUCUGAGAGGAAGGUCCCCCACACUGGUACUGAGACACGGACCAGACUCCUACGGAAGGCAGCAG
rnacentral:rRNA from 1 species